GACGAACCGUGCAAACGUUGUUCGGAAUCACUGGGCUUAAAGGGCGCGUAGGCGGGCAAGCAAGUCGAAGGUGAAAUCCCACGGCUCAACCGUGGAAGUGCCCCCGAUACUGCUUGUCUUGAGGGAGAUAGGGGCGUGCGGAACUUCCGGUGGAGCGGUGAAAUGCGUAGAUAUCGGAAGGAACACCGGUGGCGAAAGCGGCGCGCUGGAUCUCUUCUGACGCUGAGACGCGAAAGCCAGGGGAGCAAACGGG
rnacentral:rRNA from 1 species